AGAAAUUCCAAUCGAACCUGGAGAUAGCUGGUUCUCUCCGAAAUAGCUUUAGGGCUAGCCUCAAGUGAUGAUUAUUGGAGGUAGAGCACUGUUUGGACGAGGGGCCCCUCUCGGGUUACCGAAUUCAGACAAACUCCGAAUGCCAAUUAAUUUAACUUGGGAGUCAGAACAUGGGUGAUAAGGUCCGUGUUCGAAAGGGAAACAGCCCAGACCACCAGCUAAGGUCCCAAAAUAUAUGUUAAGUGGAAAAGGAUGUGGCGUUGCCCAGACAACUAGGAUGUUGGCUUAGAAGCAGCCAUCAUUUAAAGAGUGCGUAAUAGCUCACUAGUCGAGUGACACUGCGCCGAAAAUGUACCGGGGCUAAACAUAUUACCGAAGCUGUGGAUUGUCCUUUGGACAAUGGUAGGAGAGCGUUCUAAGGGCGUUGAAGCAUGAUCGUAAGGACAUGUGGAGCGCUUAGAAGUGAGAAUGCCGGUGUGAGUAGCGAAAGACGGGUGAGAAUCCCGUCCACCGAUUGACUAAGGUUUCCAGAGGAAGGCUCGUCCGCUCUGGGUUAGUCGGGUCCUAAGCUGAGGCCGACAGGCGUAGGCGAUGGAUAACAGGUUGAUAUUCCUGUACCACCUAUAAUCGUUUUAAUCGAUGGGGGGACGCAGUAGGAUAGGCGAAGCGUGCGAUUGGAUUGC
rnacentral:rRNA from 1 species